GUUAGAAUAAAAACUUUCCUCCUCCAUUGUCAUUCUAUUUGAGCUUCAAUUUGAGUCCCUUGUGGUAGGAUUUUUAAGUUGUCUUGUGAAGGAAAAAUGUUCUUGAAAUCAUAAGUUCCCCUUUUUGUGUACAAGUUGUGGCCAUUUUAUCAAUUCUGGAUUGUCCAAAUCUGAUUUGAAAAGGGAAGGGUCGGUUGAAUUUCAAGAAGUGUUCUUCAUCUUCAAAACUUGGUAACUUUGAUUUAUUCUUUGGGUUGCUUUAAAUUGUUGGUAGCUGAGUUUCAAGCUUCAAUUGAGGUCAUAGCAUGGAUGGUGUGGAGGGUGUUCCUCCUUAGCUAUAGACAGAGUCGGGGCUGGUGUUGUUGUGUUAUAUUCCGCAUAAUAGUUUAUGUUUUGUCUUAUAUCUCUUUAGAAUAUUUCUGGCAUGUAAUAAAUGUUAUUUUGCACUUUAAAACUUUAAUGUUGUAAUAUUGGCAUCUUAUCUAUUAAUUUUCAGUCUUGUUUUUGUAAA